ensembl:lncRNA novel transcript
UAGAAGCAGCAGCAGCAGCAGCAGCAGCAGCAGCAGCAGCAGCAGGAGCUAGGAAUCUCUUAAUUGCUUUGUGCUUGUCAAGAUUAUGCAACUUUCCAGAAUUCAAGAUCAUGGAAAACUGCCAGAAGGAAAUGGGUCUUCUCCUCUCCCAAAUGGUCCCAUAACUAGUCUGGCCACCUUGAGCCAUCCAAGAGGAGAAUGUGGUCAGGGACCGUGACUCAGCUUAAGAAGCUACAUUUAUAUCUAUAUCUACACACAUGUUCUACCGACUAUGACCACACCACCAUGGCCCAUGCCCAUACACCCACGUGUGAACCAAGAGGCAGGUAAUGUGCCGAUGACGACGUCUACAAGGUUUGAGGGAGGCACCUCUCAAAACCGAAUCAUCAUGCUUGCAAACUACAAAAGACUCUUUCUUGGUACUUUUCUUGUUUGAAAGUACCUACAUUUUGGGGCUCAAGACUCAGAAAGUCAGAGUGGAGAGUUGGGUGCCAUGCUCCAUUCUGCUUUUCCUGAAGUGCCUCAAAUGCUAGGCAGAGUCCCUGCACUCUCCGUGAUAGGAAUCUCCUCUGUGGCCAAAAUUGGGCCUCCGUUUUUUUCACCGCAGGAAUAUACAUGUCCUCAUGGCCGUCUCCUGCCUGGGCAGCAGCGAAGCCUCCCCAGACUGCUCUGCCCUGUGGAAGAAAAGGCCUAGGUCCUGCUGUUUUCCCAGUCUCCUUUCCUGGGAGGUGGCCAUGACUCGCUCCCAUUAACCUGGGCAGAGGCUGUUUCCCAUCUCUUCCUGCAUGAGUUACUUCAUGGAGCCUCGGAGGAGGAGCCCUGGACUCUGCUCGCCUGGGAUUCCUGCUGUUCUACCCACUGUCCACCCAGAAGCUCCCUUCCCCGGGUCUGACAUGACUUUCUCUUCUGAGCCAGGCCCAGCAGGAAGGAUGCGUUUGUGUUCGGCCCUGCAUUCCUGCAGUGUCCCUCGGGUGUGUGGCUGGAAAUGAUUUGUGUAAGGCACUCAGCCAGCCUCCCUUUUAAUCACUCCCAUACUCACAGACAGAGGGAAUCCCAGCCCCUCACCCAGGAGAGGGAAGGAACCUCCUUCAUUUUGACAGGGCCUCCCUCCGUGGUGGGGUAAGCAGUGAUUCUGGUCUCCAGGAAAGAUGCUUCCAAGAGCCUCUUUCUCUGAGGCCUAAUUAUGAAAUCGAUAUCUUCAGGAACCCCUCCUCCUUCCCUGGAGCUUCUGCAGGCAGACACUGCCCAGAUAAUGUUCAAACAUGCAUUGACCCGGCAGGGCUUCCUGAGCACCACUCUGGCUGGGGAGGAGGAUGGGAUCAGCUGGGCCUGGAAGAAUGGGCAGGGUUUGCUUAGGACGUUUCGGGGAGGCAGAUGGUGUAAGCUGGGGAUGGGGUGAGGAAGGGAGAGAGUUAGGGGCAGCUUGAGGGAAAUAGGGGUGUUUGUUGGGGAAGAGUGAGUGAUGACUGGUCAGAGUCCCAACAGCAAACAGAGGACACAAUUAAAAUGGGAUAGUUCCAGGAUAGUUUAUUUGCAUAGGUGUGAUCACAGGGAAACCACAAAGAA